rnacentral:rRNA from 1 species
AUUGAACGCUGGCGGCAGGCCUAACACAUGCAAGUCGAACGGUAACAGGAAACAGCUUGCUGUUUCGCUGACGAGUGGCGGACGGGUGAGUAAUGUCUGUGAAACUGCUUGAUGGCGGGGGAUAACUACUGGAAACGGUAGCUAAUACCGCAUAACGUCGCAAGCGCAAAGAGGGGGACCUUCGGGCCUCUUGCCAUCGGAUGUGCCCGGAUGGGAUUAGCUAGUAGGUGGGGUAACGGCUCACCUAGGCGACGAUCCCUAGCUGGUCUGAGAGGAUGACCAGCCACACUGGAACUGAGACACGGUCCAGACUCCUACGGGAGGCAGCAGUGGGGAAUAUUGCACAAUGGGCGCAAGCCUGAUGCAGCCAUGCCGCGUGUAUGAAGAAGGCCUUCGGGUUGUAAAGUACUUUCAGCGGGGAGGAAGGGAGUAAAGUUAAUACCUUUACUCAUUGACGUUACCCGCAGAAGAAGCACCGGCUAACUCCGUG